GAUGAACGCUGGCGGCGUGCCUAAUACAUGCAAGUCGAGCGAACAGACGAGGAGCUUGCUCCUCUGACGUUAGCGGCGGACGGGUGAGUAACACGUGGAUAACCUACCUAUAAGACUGGGAUAACUUCGGGAAACCGGAGCUAAUACCGGAUAAUAUAUUGAACCGCAUGGUUCAAUAGUGAAAGACGGUUUUGCUGUCACUUAUAGAUGGAUCCGCGCCGCAUUAGCUAGUUGGUAAGGUAACGGCUUACCAAGGCAACGAUGCGUAGCCGACCUGAGAGGGUGAUCGGCCACACUGGAACUGAGACACGGUCCAGACUCCUACGGGAGGCAGCAGUAGGAAAUCUUCCGCAAUGGGCGAAAGCCUGACGGAGCAACGCCGCGUGAGUGAUGAAGGUCUUCGGAUCGUAAAACUCUGUUAUUAGGGAAGAACAAAUGUGUAAGUAACUAUGCACGUCUUGACAGUACCUAAUCAGAAAGCCACGGCUAACUACGUG
rnacentral:rRNA from 1 species